rnacentral:rRNA from 1 species
AUUGAACGCUGGCGGCAUGCUUUACACAUGCAAGUCGAACGGCAGCACGGGUGCUUGCACCUGGUGGCGAGUGGCGGACGGGUGAGUAAUACAUCGGAACGUGUCCAGAAGAGGGGGAUAACGCAUCGAAAGAUGUGCUAAUACCGCAUAUGCUCUGAGGAGGAAAGUGGGGGAUCGAAAGACCUUACGCUUUUGGAGCGGCCGAUGUCUGAUUAGCUAGUUGGUGGGGUAAGGGCCUACCAAGGCGACGAUCAGUAGUUGGUCUGAGAGGACGACCAGCCACACUGGGACUGAGACACGGCCCAGACUCCUACGGGAGGCAGCAGUGGGGAAUUUUGGACAAUGGGCGCAAGCCUGAUCCAGCAAUGCCGCGUGAGUGAAGAAGGCCU